GUGAGGAAUUUUCCGCAAUGGGCGAAAGCCUGACGGAGCAAUGCCGCGUGAAGGAUGAAGGCCUAUGGGUUGUAAACUUCUUUUCUCAGAAAAGAAUUAUGACGGUAUCUGAGGAAUAAGCAUCGGCUAACUCUGUGCCAGCAGCCGCGGUAAGACAGAGGAUGCAAGCGUUAUCCGGAAUGAUUGGGCGUAAAGCGUCUGUAGGUUGUUUAAAAAGUAUUCUGUCAAAGAUUAGGGCUUAACCCUAGAUAGGCAGAAUAAACUUUUAAGCUAGAGUUUGGUAGAGGCAGAGGGAAUGCCCGGUGGAGCGGUGAAAUGCGUAGAUAUCGGGAGGAACACCAAAGGCGAAGGCACUCUGCUGGGCCAAUACUAACACUGAGAGACGAAAGCGAGGGGAGCAAAUGGGAUUAGAAACCCUGGUAGUCC
rnacentral:rRNA from 1 species